rnacentral:rRNA from 1 species
GUUGUCAUGCCAAUGGCACUGCCCGGUAGCUAAAUGCGGAAGAGAUAAGUGCUGAAAGCAUCUAAGCACGAAACUUGCCCCGAGAUGAGUUCUCCCUGAGACUUUAAGUCUCCUGAAGGAACGUUAAAGACGAUGACGUUGAUAGGCCGGGUGUGUAAGCGCAGCGAUGCGUUGAGCUAACCGGUACUAAUGAACCGUGAGGCUUAACCUUACAACGCCGAAGAUGUUUUG